rnacentral:lncRNA from 1 species
AUGAAGUUGAUCCUUCAAGAAGGACAAAGUCUUGUCCUUUUAUGGUGGGGGACAUAUUAUAACCAAGCUGUAUGUGGACUUGUGGACAAAUUAGGUAAUUAUUUGGUCCAGAUCUUUUGAGUCAUUCAAUUAAUCACUUUGUCAUCACAAUAGAGCUGAUUUUGUUCGGAGACUAAUUCAGAAUAGAAAACAUGCCAGUGAUUUUGAAUUUUCUUUUUAUGAUAUUUAUCACUUCUUAGGGAGCCUAGUGGUGAGGCUGGUGUUUCUUCCUUUUGAAGAAAGUUCCUAUGCUACAUUUGCCAGGUCUGCAUCGGGUUUGCUUUCCUCCUUUGUUUACUUGAUGGUUCUUUUGAUGUUAUGUUGA